AGAUGAACGCUGGCGGCGUGCCUAAUACAUGCAAGUCGAGCGAACAGACGAGGAGCUUGCUCCUCUGACGUUAGCGGCGGACGGGUGAGUAACACGUGGAUAACCUACCUAUAAGACUGGGAUAACUUCGGGAAACCGGAGCUAAUACCGGAUAAUAUAUUGAACCGCAUGGUUCAAUAGUGAAAGACGGUUUUGCUGUCACUUAUAGAUGGAUCCGCGCCGCAUUAGCUAGUUGGUAAGGUAACGGCUUACCAAGGCAACGAUGCGUAGCCGACCUGAGAGGGUGAUCGGCCACACUGGAACUGAGACACGGUCCAGACUCCUACGGGAGGCAGCAGUAGGGAAUCUUCCGCAAUGGGCGAAAGCCUGACGGAGCAACGCCGCGUGAGUGAUGAAGGUCUUCGGCUCGUAAAGCUCUGUUAUUAG
rnacentral:rRNA from 1 species